GUAGGGUGACCUGCGGAGGGAUCAUUGCUGGAACGCGCCCCAGGCGCACCCAGAAACCCUUUGUGAACUUAUACCUUACUGUUGCCUCGGCGUAUGCUGGCCCCUAGGGGUCCCUCACUCCGGUGAGGAGCAGGCACGCCGGCGGCCAAGUUAACUCUUGUUUUUACGCUGAAACUCUGAGAAAAAAAACAAAAUGAAUCAAAACUUUCAACAACGGAUCUCUUGGUUCUGGCAUCGAUGAAGAACGCAGCGAAAUGCGAUAAGUAAUGUGAAUUGCAGAAUUCAGUGAAUCAUCGAAUCUUUGAACGCACAUUGCGCCCUCCGGUAUUCCGGAGGGCAUGCCUGUUCGAGCGUCAUUUCAACCCUCAAGCCUGGCUUGGUGUUGGGGCACUGCCUGUAAAAGGGCAGGCCCUCAAAUCUAGUGGCGAGCUCGCCAGGACCCCGAGCGUAGUAGUUAAACCCUCGCUUUGGAAGGCCCUGGCGGUGCCCUGCCGUUAAACCCCCAACUCUUUGAAAAUUUGACCUCGGAUCAGGUAGGAAUACCCGCUGAACUUAAGCAUAUC
rnacentral:rRNA from 1 species